rnacentral:lncRNA from 10 species
GCAGGGUGGAACACCCACAUCGACAACCUCGUGGUGGAAGGGACCUGUAGGAUGCAGCCAUCGUGGGCUACAAGGACUUGCCUUCCAUCCAGGCCACCAUCCCUGGGAAAACCUUCAUCAACGUCAAGCCAGCUGAGGUUGAUGUCCUGGUUGGCAAAGACUGGUCAAGUUUUUUUGUGAAUGAGGUGACACUUGGGGGCCAGAAAUGUUCUGUGAUCUGGGACCUACUGCUGCAGGAUGGGGAACUGACCUAUCUUUAUACCAAGAGCACCGAUGGAGCCCCCACCUUCACGCUAGUCCUGCUGAUGAGCAAAGAAGGUGUUGAUGGCAUUUUGAUCAACAAGAAAUGUUAUGAAACGGCCUCCCACCUCUGGCAUUCCUAGUACUGA